GAAUGGGGGGUCGAUUUAGCCAUGCUAGUUGCACGAGUUCAUACUCGUGGCGAAAAGCUCAGUAACACGUGGCCAAACUACCCUACAGAGAACGAUAACCUCGGGAAACUGAGGCUAAUAGUUCAUACGGGAGUCAUGCUGGAAUGCCGACUCCCCGAAACGCUCAGGCGCUGUAGGAUGUGGCUGCGGCCGAUUAGGUAGACGGUGGGGUAACGGCCCACCGUGCCGAUAAUCGGUACGGGUUGUGAGAGCAAGAGCCCGGAGACGGAAUCUGAGACAAGAUUCCGGGCCCUACGGGGCGCAGCAGGCGCGAAACCUUUACACUGCACGCAAGUGCGAUAAGGGGACCCCAAGUGCGAGGGCAUAUAGUCCUCGCUUUUCUCGACUGUAAGGCGGUCGAGGAAUAAGAGCUGGGCAAGACCGGUGCCAGCCGCCGCGGUAAUACCGGCAGCUCAAGUGAUGACCGAUAUUAUUGGGCCUAAAGCGUCCGUAGCCGGCCACGAAGGUUCAUCGGGAAAUCCGCCAGCUCAACUGGCGGGCGUCCGGUGAAAACCACGUGGCUUGGGACCGGAAGGCUCGAGGGGUACGUCCGGGGUAGGA
rnacentral:rRNA from 1 species